rnacentral:rRNA from 1 species
GAUGAACGCUGGCGGCGUGCCUAAUACAUGCAAGUCGAGCGAACAGACGAGGAGCUUGCUCCUCUGAUGUUAGCGGCGGACGGGUGAGUAACACGUGGAUAACCUACCUAUAAGACUGGGAUAACUUCGGGAAACCGGAGCUAAUACCGGAUAAUAUAUUGAACCGCAUGGUUCAAUAGUGAAAGACGGUUUUGCUGUCACUUAUAGAUGGAUCCGCGCCGCAUUAGCUAGUUGGUAAGGUAACGGCUUACCAAGGCAACGAUGCGUAGCCGACCUGAGAGGGUGAUCGGCCACACUGGACCUGAGACACGGUCCAGACUCCUACGGGAGGCAGCAGUAGGGAAUCUUCCGCAAUGGGCGAAAGCUUGACGGAGCAACGCCGCGUGAGUGAUGAAGGUCUUCGGAUCGUAAAACUCUGUUAUUAGGGAAGAACAAAUGUGUAAGUAACUAUGCACGUCUUGACGGUACCUAAUCAGAAAGCCACGGCUAACUACGUG